CGGGGAGCAAGAGGUUCCGAUCUGGCACACUGUUAGAUUAAGGGAAAUCUGGAGAACGUGACUAUCUGAGCGAGCCAGGGAUAUUGAUCCCCACCAGGAAGACAAAGCCAAUAAUGAGGGAGAGUUCCUCAGGAGAAGCCCCGGUAAUGGCCGUGUCCUCAGGUAGAUGCAAGAGCGGUGAAGCAGACAGUGGCGUGACAACAACUAACAAAUUUAUGAAGCAGGUCUGCAACCGGAAUUAAGGUGGGCAGUUAUUUAAUAUUACAAUCAAAAAUCAGAGUCAUGAGCUCAGCUGGCAAACCCAGAAAAGCCACCUGGACAAGAGACUGUAGUCCUGCAACCAGCCAACCAUUUGAAUUGCAUCAUGAAUUGUGCAUUGCGUCUGACACUUCAGCCAGGACGGCUGACGUAAGGAAGGCAAACCUAGCCCACACUGAUCAAAAUGGCAGAAAUUAACCAGAGGAGCAACAUGCCCUCGGCACAGUCCCUGAACAGGACUGAGAUGCCUACAGCACAGCAAGAUGAUGUUUUCCAGUAGCAAACUCCUGGGUGGAGUAGAAAAACGGAGGCAGGAGGGGAGCAAGAAAGGAUGGGCAGAGGAACUUAUUCUUUAGCAUGUAUGGGAGCAGCAGACAGAGGGAUGCAAAUGUCAGGACCCUCCAUGGCUGGAAAUCACAUAGAAGGAGUGAAUUGGUGAGUCCCACCUCUUGAUAUUACCAAAUAAAGAUCAGCCGCUAGUGGAAACGUGCCCUGCUUCCCAAGCUGAGAUGUAAAGUUAAGAGCAAAUGAAAUUCAUGUCCCUUCCCCAUGUCGUAGCUGAUGAAGAUGACAAAAAAGACAGACUUUUCCAGAUGGUUUGAAAUGUAAAUAAAAAAUGGAGAAAUGAAUCUGGGCACUUUCCACUCACCCAUGUGUCUUUAACAUACUAACCUCACAGCCAGAUGAGAGGGCUCCUGCAAGCCUCAGGACAGACAGAGGGUAUAAAUAAAGUUCACAGCCAACCAAUGGAGGCUGCUGAUACUGAAGGCGGGUAGAAUCUCCUUCAUGAUAGAGAGCAGACCGGACUCAGUGGUAAUGAAUAUAGAGAUUCCUUC